rnacentral:rRNA from 1 species
GUGGCGGACGGGUGAGUAACACGUAAGAAUUUGCCUUUAGGAGGGGGACAACAACUGGAAACGGUUGCUAAUACCCCAUAUGCUUUCAGUGAAAUGGAUUUUUCCGCCUAGAGAGAAGCUUGCGGCUGAUUAGCUUGUUGGUGAGGUAAUGGCUCACCAAGGCGACGAUCAGUAUCUGGUUUGAGAGGACGAUCAGACACACUGGAACUGAGACACGGUCCAGACUCCUACGGGAGGCAGCAGUGGGGAAUUUUCCGCAAUGGGCGAAAGCCUGACGGAGCAAUACCGCGUGAGGGAUGACGGCCUAUGGGUUGUAAACCUCUUUUUUCAGGGAGGAAUAAAAUGACGUGUACCUGAAGAAUAAGCAUCGGCUAACUCCGUGCCAGCAGCCGCGGUAAGACGGAGGAUGCAAGUGUUAUCCGGAAUCACUGGGCGUAAAGCGUCUGUAGGUGGUCCAAUAAGUCAACUGUUAAAUCUUGAGGCUCAACCUCAAAACCGCAGUCGAAACUAUUAGACUAGAGUAUAGUAGGGGUAAAGGGAAUUUCCAGUGGAGCGGUGAAAUGCGUAGAGAUUGGAAAGAACACCGAUGGCGAAGCACUUUACUGGGCUAUUACUAACACUCAGAGACGAAAGCUAGGGUAGCAAAUGGGAUAGAUACCCCAGUAGUCCUAGCCGUAAACAAUGG